rnacentral:rRNA from 1 species
ACGACGCUGGCGGCGUGCCUAAUACAUGCAAGUCGAACGGUCUUUCUAUGGAAGCUUGCUUCCACUGAGAAGAUAGUGGCGAACGGGUGAGUAACACGUGGGCAACCUGCCUCAUAGAGAGGAAUAGCCUUCCGAAAGGGAGAUUAAUACCUCAUAACAUUGCAGUUUCGCAUGGAACAGCAAUUAAAGGAGCAAUCCGCUAUGAGAUGGGCCCGCGGCGCAUUAGCUAGUUGGUGAGGUAACGGCUCACCAAGGCGACGAUGCGUAGCCGACCUGAGAGGGUGAUCGGCCACAUUGGGACUGAGACACGGCCCAGACUCCUACGGGAGGCAGCAGUGGGGAAUAUUGCACAAUGGGGGAAACCCUGAUGCAAGCAACGCCGCGUGAGUGAUGACGGCCUUCGGGUUGUAAAGCUCUGUCUUCAGGGACGAUAAUGACGGUACCUGAGGAGGAAGCCGCGGCUAACUACGUGCCAGCCGCAGC